rnacentral:rRNA from 1 species
AGCGAACGCUGGCGGCAGGCUUAACACAUGCAAGUCGAACGGGCGUAGCAAUACGUCAGUGGCAGACGGGUGAGUAACGCGUGGGAACGUACCUUUUGGUUCGGAACAACCCAGGGAAACUUGGGCUAAUACCGGGAUAAGCCCUUACGGGGAAAGAUUUAUCGCCGAAAGAUCGGCCCGCGUCUGAUUAGCUAGUUGGUGAGGUAACGGCUCACCAAGGCGACGAUCAGUAGCUGGUCUGAGAGGAUGAUCAGCCACAUUGGGACUGAGACACGGCCCAAACUCCUACGGGAGGCAGCAGUGGGGAAUAUUGGACAAUGGGCGCAAGCCUGAUCCAGCCAUGCCGCGUGAGUGAUGAAGGCCCUAGGGUUGUAAAGCUCUUUUGUGCGGGAAGAUAAUGACGGUACGCAAGAAUAAGCCCGGCUAACUCGUGCCAGCCGCCGCCGUAAU